rnacentral:rRNA from 1 species
CACGUAGGAGGCGAGCGUUGUCCGGAAUCAUUGGGCGUAAAGCGCGCGCAGGCGGCUUGGCAAGUCGGGUGUGAAAUCCCGGGGCUCAACCCCGGGACUGCAUUCGAUACUGUCAGGCUAGAGGUAGGUAGGGGAGAUCGGAAUUCCUGGUGUAGCGGUGAAAUGCGCAGAUAUCAGGAGGAACACCGGUGGCGAAGGCGGAUCUCUGGGCCUUACCUGACGCUCAGGCGCGAAAGCUAGGGGAGCGAACAGG